GAUGAACGCUGGCGGCGUGCUUAACACAUGCAAGUCGAACGGAAAGGCUCCUGCUUGCAGGGGUACUCGAGUGGCGAACGGGUGAGUAACACGUGGGUGAUCUGCCCUGCACUUCGGGAUAAGCCUGGGAAACUGGGUCUAAUACCGGAUAGGACGAUGGUUUGGAUGCCAUUGUGGAAAGUUUUUUCGGUGUGGGAUGAGCUCGCGGCCUAUCAGCUUGUUGGUGGGGUAAUGGCCUACCAAGGCGUCGACGGGUAGCCGGCCUGAGAGGGUGUACGGCCACAUUGGGACUGAGAUACGGACCAGACUCCUACGGGAGGCAGCAGUGGGGAAUAUUGCACAAUGGGCGCAAGCCUGAUGCAGCGACGCCGCGUGGGGGAUGACGGCCUUCGGGUUGUAAACUCCUUUCGCUAGGGACGAAGCGCAAGUGACGGUACCUGGAGAAGAAGCACCGGCUAACUACGUG
rnacentral:rRNA from 1 species